UACGGAGGGGGCUAGCGUUGUUCGGAAUUACUGGCGUAAAGCGCGCGUAGGCGGACCUGCAAGUCGGGGGUGAAAGCCCGAGGCUCAACCUCGGAACUGCCUUCGAUACUGCGGGUCUCGAGUCCGGGAGAGGUGAGUGGAAUUCCUAGUGUAGAGGUGAAAUUCGUAGAUAUUAGGAAGAACACCAGUGGCGAAGGCGGCUCACUGGCCCGGUACUGACGCUGAGGCGCGAAAGCGUGGGGAGCAAACAGG
rnacentral:rRNA from 1 species